rnacentral:tRNA from 1 species
GCUGGUGUAGCUCAAUGGUAGAGCAGCGCAUUCGUAAUGCGCUGGUUAGCGGUUCAAAUCCGCUCACCAGCU